rnacentral:rRNA from 1 species
AUUGAACGCUGGCGGCAGGCCUAACACAUGCAAGUCGAGCGGAUGACGGGAGCUUGCUCCUUGAUUCAGCGGCGGACGGGUGAGUAAUGCCUAGGAAUCUGCCUGGUAGUGGGGGACAACGUUUCGAAAGGAACGCUAAUACCGCAUACGUCCUAUGGGAGAAAGCAGGGGACCUUCGGGCCUUGCGCUAUCAGAUGAGCCUAGGUCGGAUUAGCUAGUUGGUGGGGUAAUGGCUCACCAAGGCGACGAUCCCUAGCUGGUUUGAGAGGAUGAUCAGCCACACUGGAACUGGGACACGGUCCAGACUCCUACGGGAGGCAGCAGUGGGGAAUAUUGGACAAUGGGCGCAAGCCUGAUCCAGCCAUGCCGCGUGUGUGAAGAAGGCCUUCGGGUUGUAAAGCACUUUCAGUAGGGAGGAAGGGUGUUGUGUUAAUAGCACAGCAUUUUGACGUUACCUACAGAAGAAGCACCGGCUAACUCUGUGCCAGCCGCCGCAGUAA